rnacentral:rRNA from 1 species
UACGUAGGGUGCAAGCGUUGUCCGGAAUUAUUGGGCGUAAAGAGCUCGUAGGCGGUCCGUCACGUCGGGCGUGAAAACCCAGGGCUCAACCCUGGGCCUGCGUUCGAUACGGGCGGACUAGAGUUCGGUAGGGGAGACUGGAAUUCCUGGUGUAGCGGUGAAAUGCGCAGAUAUCAGGAGGAACACCGGUGGCGAAGGCGGGUCUCUGGGCCGAUACUGACGCUGAGGCACGAAAGCGUGGGGAGCAAACAGG